UUGAGCCGUAUGCGGGGAAACUCGCACGUACGGUUCUUAGGGGGGGACGGGGUCAGUAAUGACCUUGUCCCUACCCUAC
rnacentral:ncRNA from 1 species